rnacentral:rRNA from 1 species
UACGAAGGGGGCUAGCGUUGCUCGGAAUCACUGGGCGUAAAGGGUGCGUAGGCGGGUCUUUAAGUCAGGGGUGAAAUCCUGGAGCUCAACUCCAGAACUGCCUUUGAUACUGGCGAUCUCGAGUCCGGGAGAGGUGAGUGGAACUGCGAGUGUAGAGGUGAAAUUCGUAGAUAUUCGCAAGAACACCAGUGGCGAAGGCGGCUCACUGGCCCGGUACUGACGCUGAGGUGCGAAAAGCGUGGGGGAGCAAACAGGG